rnacentral:rRNA from 1 species
UGGGGAAUCUUGCACAAUGGGCGAAAGCCUGAUGCAGCAACGCCGCGUGCGGGAAGACAGCCCUAGGGUUGUAAACCGCUUUCAGCAGGGAAGAAACUGACGGUACCUGCAGAAGAAGAUGCGGCCAACUACGUGCCAGCAGCCGCGGUGACACGUAGGCAUCAAGCGUUAUCCGGAUUUAUUGGGCGUAAAGAGCUCGUAGGCGGUUCGGUAAGUCGGGUGUGAAAACUCUGGGCUCAACCCAGAGAGGCCACUCGAUACUGCUGUGACUAGAGUGCGGUAGGGGAGCGGGGAAUUCCUGGUGUAGCGGUGAAAUGCGCAGAUAUCAGGAGGGAACACCAGUGGCGAAGGCGCCGCUCUGGGCCGUAACUGACGCUGAGGAGCGAAAGCAUGGGUAGCAAACAGGAUUAGAUACCCUGGUAGUCCAUGCCGUAAACGUUGGGCACUAGGUGUGGGUCUCAACCGAACGAGAUCC